CAGUAGGGAAUCUUCCACAAUGGACGAAAGUCUGAUGGAGCAACGCCGCGUGAGUGAAGAAGGUUUUCGGAUCGUAAAACUCUGUUGUUAGAGAAGAACACGAGUGAGAGUAACUGUUCAUUCGAUGACGGUAUCUAACCAGCAAGUCACGGCUAACUACGUGCCAG
rnacentral:rRNA from 1 species